CUACGGGAGGCAGCAGUGGGGAAUAUUGGACAAUGGGCGAAAGCCUGAUCCAGCCAUGCCGCGUGAGUGAUGAAGGCCCUAGGGUUGUAAAGCUCUUUCAGUGGGGAAGAUAAUGACGGUACCCACAGAAGAAGCCCCGGCUAACUUCGUGCCAGCAGCCGCGGUAAUACGAAGGGGGCUAGCGUUGUUCGGAAUUACUGGGCGUAAAGCGCACGUAGGCGGAUCAGUCAGUUAGGGGUGAAAUCCCGGGGCUCAACCCCGGAACUGCCUUUAAUACUGCUGAUCUAGAGUUCGAGAGAGGUGAGUGGAAUUCCGAGUGUAGAGGUGAAAUUCGUAGAUAUUCGGAGGAACACCAGUGGCGAAGGCGGCUCACUGGCUCGAUACUGACGCUGAGGUGCGAAAGCGUGGGGAGCAAACAGGAUUAGAAACCCCAGUAGUCC
rnacentral:rRNA from 1 species